UGGAGGGAGAAGGAGUGGGUGACUGCUGCGUCCAGUGACCCGAGCUUUACCCUGCAUCUUCUCAGCCCUGGAAGUCAGCAGCUCCUGAGUGAGACCCAGGCUGGCUCAGGGCCGUCGGCUGGCCAGACUGGUUCCUGCAGAAGUCAAAGUCGAGUGCCCCAAGGCCUUCAUAUACUGCCAGGUGAGGAAACCCCAAGUCUGUGGUGAGAGGAGACCUGUUGAGGACAGAGUCAAAGUGCCUGUGUGGACAGGAGCUGGUGCCAAAGCUCACAGUUCUGGAAAAUCCCAAGUCAGAAAGUGCACCUCCUCUCCAAGGACUCCCAGGAAACCUAGCAUCAUCUAACGGACCUUGUUUAAUGGCGUCCAUUGUCUGUUGCCCUCACUGGAACGUGAGUUCCAUGAUGGAAGGGGUUUUCCGGAACAUCAGUUGGCACCUGGUCCUCAGGAAGCACUCCGUGGAAACUGUUGUGUGAGCAGUCACGUGCGAGGUCCUUGCCUUACCUCCAGACCUCC
ensembl:lncRNA